UACGUAGGGUGCAAGCGUUGUCCGGAAUUAUUGGGCGUAAAGAGCUCGUAGGCGGUUUGUCGCGUCGAAUGUGAAACCCUGAGGCUCAACCUCAGGCCUGCAUUCGAUACGGGCAGACUAGAAUUCGGCAGGGGAGACUGGAAUUCCUGGUGUAGCGGUGAAAUGCGCAGAUAUCAGGAGGAACACCGGUGGCGAAGGCGGGUCUCUGGGCCGAUAUUGACGCUGAGGAGCGAAAGCGUGGGGAGCAAACAGG
rnacentral:rRNA from 1 species